UACGUAGGGUGCAAGCGUUGUCCGGAAUUAUUGGGCGUAAAGAGCUCGUAGGCGGUUUGUCGCGUCUGCCGUGAAAGUCCGGGGCUCAACUCCGGAUCUGCGGUGGGUACGGGCAGACUAGAGUGCUGUAGGGGAGACUGGAAUUCCUGGUGUAGCGGUGAAAUGCGCAGAUAUCAGGAGGAACACCGAUGGCGAAGGCAGGUCUCUGGGCAUUAACUGACGCUGAGGAGCGAAAGCAUGGGGAGAGAACAGG
rnacentral:rRNA from 1 species